GCACCAAUGGUUUGGUGGCAAAACAGCUAGUUCCCAUUUAGAUGCCCCGAGUUCGAUUUCCCGUUGGUACA